rnacentral:rRNA from 1 species
GGCGAACGCUGGCGGCGUGCUUAACACAUGCAAGUCGAACGGAAAGGCCCUGCUUUUGUGGGGUGCUCGAGUGGCGAACGGGUGAGUAACACGUGAGUAACCUGCCCUUGACUUUGGGAUAACUUCAGGAAACUGGGGCUAAUACCGGAUAGGAGCUCCUGCUGCAUGGUGGGGGUUGGAAAGUUUCGGCGGUUGGGGAUGGACUCGCGGCUUAUCAGCUUGUUGGUGGGGUAGUGGCUUACCAAGGCUUUGACGGGUAGCCGGCCUGAGAGGGUGACCGGCCACAUUGGGACUGAGAUACGGCCCAGACUCCUACGGGAGGCAGCAGUGGGGAAUAUUGCACAAUGGGCGGAAGCCUGAUGCAGCAACGCCGCGUGCGGGAUGACGGCCUUCGGGUUGUAAACCGCUUUCGCCUGUGACGAAGCGAGAGUGACGGUAAUGGGUAAAGAAGCACCGGCUAACUACGUG